GAUGAACGCUGGCGGCGUGCUUAACACAUGCAAGUCGAACGAUGAAGCCCAGCUUGCUGGGUGGAUUAGUGGCGAACGGGUGAGUAACACGUGAGUAACCUGCCCUUAACUCUGGGAUAAGCCUGGGAAACUGGGUCUAAUACCGGAUAGGAGCGUCCACCGCAUGGUGGGUGUUGGAAAGAUUUAUCGGUUUUGGAUGGACUCGCGGCCUAUCAGCUUGUUGGUGAGGUAAUGGCUCACCAAGGCGACGACGGGUAGCCGGCCUGAGAGGGUGACCGGCCACACUGGGACUGAGACACGGCCCAGACUCCUACGGGAGGCAGCAGUGGGGAAUAUUGCACAAUGGGCGCAAGCCUGAUGCAGCGACGCCGCGUGAGGGAUGACGGCCUUCGGGUUGUAAACCUCUUUCAGUAGGGAAGAAGCGAAAGUGACGGUACCUGCAGAAGAAGCACCGGCUAACUACGUGCCAGCAGCCGCCGUAAAAC
rnacentral:rRNA from 1 species